GGAGAAGCUUGGAAAUACCACUAGAAUGCCUCCAAGAGGCUGAAAAAGCAGAAUGCGAGGAGGAAGAAUCUCAGAUUCUUUAUGGCAUUUAAAAUAAAGGCAGUGCAGUUUUUGAGCUGAAGGUUGUGAACUUCUGAGGUUGGAAAGAAUGAGUUUGCAUAAUGUCCCAGAGGCUUUGAAGUGCUGACUGAAAGCAAGCAAUUAACAAGGGCUGUGCCCUGGUGGUGGCUGGGAACUACAGAUCAUCUCGAGGGAUCCACUCAUCUGCUACAGCUUCAGAUGUCCCCACAGGGAUGGGCAUGGGGACAGGAAAGCCCUGCAGUCUUCCCAUCUUAUACGCAGGGAGGAGAUUUUGCCUAACUCAAGCCAAGUACCUUCCUUGCAA
rnacentral:lncRNA from 1 species